rnacentral:rRNA from 1 species
AUUGAACGCUGGCGGCAGGCCUAACACAUGCAAGUCGAGCGGUAGCACAGAGAGCUUGCUCUCGGGUGACGAGCGGCGGACGGGUGAGUAAUGUCUGGGAAACUGCCUGAUGGAGGGGGAUAACUACUGGAAACGGUAGCUAAUACCGCAUAACGUCGCAAGACCAAAGUGGGGGACCUUCGGGCCUCAUGCCAUCAGAUGUGCCCAGAUGGGAUUAGCUAGUAGGUGGGGUAACGGCUCACCUAGGCGACGAUCCCUAGCUGGUCUGAGAGGAUGACCAGCCACACUGGAACUGAGACACGGUCCAGACUCCUACGGGAGGCAGCAGUGGGGAAUAUUGCACAAUGGGCGCAAGCCUGGUGCAGCCAUGCCGCGUGUGUGAAGAAGGCCUUCGGGUUGUAAAGCACUUUCAGCGGGGAGGAAGGCGGUGAGGUUAAUAACCUCAUCGAUUGACGUUACCCGCAGAAGAAGCACCGGCUAACUCCGUGCCAGCAGCCGCGGUAAUACGGAGGGUGCAAGCGUUAAUCGGAAUUACUGGGCGUAAAGCGCACGCAGGCGGUCUGUCAAGUCGGAUGUGAAAUCCCCGGGCUCAACCUGGGAACUGCAUUCGAAACUGGCAGGCUAGAGUCUUGUAGAGGGGGGGUAGAAUUCCAGGUGUAGCGGUGAAAUGCGUAGAGAUCUGGAGGAAUACCGGUGGCGAAGGCGGCCCCCUGGACAAAGACUGACGCUCAGGUGCGAAAGCGUGGGGAGCAAACAGGAUUAGAUACCCUGGUAGUCCACGCCGUAAACGAUGUCGAUUUGGAGGUUGUGCCCUUGAGGCGUGGCUUCCGGAGCUAACGCGUUAAAUCGACCGCCUGGGGAGUACGGCCGCAAGGUUAAAACUCAAAUGAAUUGACGGGGGCCCGCACAAGCGGUGGAGCAUGUGGUUUAAUUCGAUGCAACGCGAAGAACCUUACCUGGUCUUGACAUCCACAGAACUUUCCAGAGAUGGAUUGGUGCCUUCGGGAACUGUGAGACAGGUGCUGCAUGGCUGUCGUCAGCUCGUGUUGUGAAAUGUUGGGUUAAGUCCCGCAACGAGCGCAACCCUUAUCCUUUGUUGCCAGCGGUUCGGCCGGGAACUCAAAGGAGACUGCCAGUGAUAAACUGGAGGAAGGUGGGGAUGACGUCAAGUCAUCAUGGCCCUUACGACCAGGGCUACACACGUGCUACAAUGGCAUAUACAAAGAGAAGCGACCUCGCGAGAGCAAGCGGACCUCAUAAAGUAUGUCGUAGUCCGGAUUGGAGUCUGCAACUCGACUCCAUGAAGUCGGAAUCGCUAGUAAUCGUAGAUCAGAAUGCUACGGUGAAUACGUUCCCGGGCCUUGUACACACCGCCCGUCACACCAUGGGAGUGGGUUGCAAAAGAAGUAGGUAGCUUAACCUUCGGGAGGGCGCUUACCACUUUGUGAUUCAUGACUGGGGUGA